rfam:Pedobacter cryoconitis strain PAMC 27485, complete genome.
UAUGGGGAAGCCGAAAACCUUAAAAAGAGUAGGCG